AAAAAAAAAAAAACAAAAAAAAUGAAAACGGGAGAAACCGAGGGAAACGAAGCUCCAUCAAUUAAUUUGAGGUGACGCUAGAAGUAGCGCGGAAUAGGUGAGGAAUCCCGUUCUGGAAGAAAGGAAGCGGUGAAGUAUUCUCUAUCUUUAUCAGAUUCAUUAGGGCAUGUAUUAACUAUGGAUUGUAAGAGCUUAAACAUAACUAGACUGUUAGUUGAUGUUAGUUACUUAUUUUUCUGUAUUUAUUUAUGUAUGCACAAAUUAUACCCCUGUGGACGCGGGAGGCUGACUUUGAAUGUUGAUCUUGACAGUGAUUGCGUUUUGUAAAGUC